rnacentral:rRNA from 1 species
GACGAACGCUGGCGGCGUGCCUAAUACAUGCAAGUAGGACGCAGUUGCGAACGGGUGAGUAACGCGUAGGUAACUACCUAUUAGAGGGGGAUAACUAUUGGAAACGAUAGCUAAUACCGCAUACUAGUAGAUGGACCUGCGUUUUAUUAGCUAGUAGGUAGGGUAAUGGCCUACCUAGGCAAUGAUACAUAGCCGACCUGGGAGGGUGAACGGCCACCAUGGGACUGAGACACGGCCCAGACUCCUACGGGAGGCAGCAGUUGGGAAUCUUCGGACAUGGGGGGAACCCUGACCGAGCAACGCCGCGGGAGUUAAGGAGGUUUUCGGGUCGUAAAGCUCUUUUGUGAAGGAAGCGGUACUUAACCAGAAAGCGACGGCUAACUACGUGCCAGCAGCCGCGGUAAUAC